GACGAACGCUGGCGGCGUGCUUAACACAUGCAAGUCGAACGGAAAGGCCCUGCUUUUGUGGGGUUCUCGAGUGGCGAACGGGUGAGUAACACGUGAGUAACCUGCCCUUGACUUUGGGAUAACUUCAGGAAACUGGGGCUAAUACCGGAUAGUAGCUCCUGCUGCAUGGUGGGGGUUGGAAAGUUUCGGCGGUUGGGGAUGGACUCGCGGCUUAUCAGCGUGUUGGUGGGGUAGUGGCUUACCAAGGCUUUGACGGGUAGCCGGCCUGAGAGGGUGACCGGCCACAUUGGGCCUGAGAUACGGCCCAGAGUGCUACGGGAGGCAACAGUGGGGAAUCUUGUACAAUGGGCGGAAGCCUGAUGAAGCAACGCCGCGUGCGGGAUGACGGCCUUCGGGUUGUAAACCGCUUUCGCCUGUGACGAAGCGUGAGUGACGGUAAUGGGUAAAGAAGCACCGGCUAACUACGUG
rnacentral:rRNA from 1 species